UNGUGAGUGCUUUAAGGUAGGUGUUUGCA
rnacentral:piRNA from 1 species